rnacentral:rRNA from 1 species
GGGGAUUAGUGGCGAACGGGUGAGUAACACGUGAGUAACCUGCCCUUAACUCUGGGAUAAGCCUGGGAAACUGGGUCUAAUACCGGAUAUGACUCCUCAUCGCAUGGUGGGGGGUGGAAAGCUUUUUGUGGUUUUGGAUGGACUCGCGGCCUAUCAGCUUGUUGGUGAGGUAAUGGCUCACCAAGGCGACGACGGGUAGCCGGCCUGAGAGGGUGACCGGCCACACUGGGACUGAGACACGGCCCAGACUCCUACGGGAGGCAGCAGUGGGGAAUAUUGCACAAUGGGCGCAAGCCUGAUGCAGCGACGCCGCGUGAGGGAUGACGGCGUCGGGUUGUAACCUCUUUCAGUAGGGAAGAAGCGAAAGUGACGGUACCUGCAGAAGAAGCGCCGGCUAACUACGUGCCAGCAGCCGCGGUAAUACGUAGGGCGCAAGCGUUAUCCGGAAUUAUUGGGCGUAAAGAGCUCGUAGGCGGUUUGUCGCGUCUGCCGUGAAAGUCCGGGGCUCAACUCCGGAUCUGCGGUGGGUACGGGCAGACUAGAGUGAUGUAGGGGAGACUGGAAUUCCUGGUGUAGCGGUGAA